GGGGUUUGGUAACCUUUUUUGUAAUGAGCUUAUUUUGUGUGUUUCUCUGUUAUUAUUCAUUUUUUCUUCAUAUACAAAAAUUUUUCCCCUUUAGGCUUUUCUUCUAUGACUCUACAAGGUUGUUAAUGAUCAGUAAUACCAGUGGGAGUUGGUUGAUUUCUGAAGAGGAUUAGUUCAUAAGAAGAAAAAGAACUUUCUUUUGUACUUUUGUCAGUGAUUCUAGAUGUUCCAAAACUCAGUUAUGCUGAAACACUGAACUGAAACCCUGGCUUUCUUGAAAAAUAUCCAAGUGAUAUGAGUCAGCAUUCCUAUCCAAGAUUCAGAACUUCUCUAAAUGAAUCUGAGGAGUUAAAUUAAAUGUUCAGCUCAAAGUCAACUUAUUCCAAAGAAAACUAGUUAUAUCUUUUGCAUGAAAUCUACUCCCUCCAUUUUCUAGCUUUCCUAUUUCUGUUAAGAGUACCACUGCCCUACCAGAUUGCCAGGUCUUGAGAAAUGUCCCCUGUUCGGUUCACUUCCAGUACACUCUCUGCCUUGUUCCAUCUCUAUUUCAACUGCCUUGCUCACCACACUCCCAAGAAUAUAACCUCCUUUCCUUUCCCUGCUUCCUUUUUCCAGAUGCUCUUUAUGCUUUCUUUUCCUUAAUAAAAGUUAAUCUCCUUGAGAGCAAGGAUAUUAUAGUCUUAAUUUUGAAUCUCUAGCACUUUAAUUCUGUGCUUGGCAUACAAUACGCAUUUAAUAAAUGAUCUAUCUAUUUACCCUUACAUCUAUCCUUCCUUCUUUCUUCUCUUCCUCCCUCCUUUCCUACUUCUCCUCCACCCAAUGCCUUUUGUACAAUGACAAAUGCUCCUAGAUUUGAUUGAUCCAACUGGUUUUAUUUAAUCAUAUAUGCAUAUAGAUCAUAAAUCAAAGAUUUAGAAAUAUAAGGUAAUUGAGAGAUCAUGUGGUUCAAUUCCAAGUGUCAGAGAUUGUGACUAGUUUAUGGCCACAGAGUUAAAAAGUGUCAGGAGCAGAGUCUGAACAAAGGUCUAUUUAAUUCCACAUCAGCACACUCUCCCUAAACUAUGUUGUCUCUCUAUUUGCAGUGGGUGCACCAAGGACAUUCCAAAUCAUUAAUCUGUAGUCUUUUACCAUGAUAGAGAGAGAGAUUUAAAACUGUUAAACUGGAAGGUGCAAUCCUUUACUGCUCUCCUAUGGUUUUUGCCAUAUCCUGAUUUAGCAGGAGUCUUUAGAGCAUCUGAUGUAUGAAAACAGAAUGCUUCGCAAGCACACAAAUAAGAGUUUGGAUCACCCAUCCCUAUAACCCUUCUUUUGAGGGAAUUUCUGACUCAGUCAUUCCAACACAUAACAACACAUGAAACUUCAAAUUAUAAUCCAUGGAGUAUGUAAAUUGAUUUAAGCAUCACUCCCCCACCCCAAUAUGCACAUAUGGGGUUCUUUCUGGUCUUCUUUUAUAUCUUUUCCUCACAUCUGGCAGCAGGAUGCCUUUUAUAUAGCAUUAAAUCAGAUUUCAUCCUUAUUAUAAUUGCGUGUGUCACUGUUACAUGUCCUUCACUUGACUAAAACAUGAAAAUGGUGAGGAUGGGAUUCAGUAUUCCAAUUUUCAUAGUAAUGACAUUCCAGGGGAGAAAUGAGAUCUUGGCUUGGGUGGUAGGUAUAUGUAAUUCAAUUUUAAGUUUCAGAUGAUUAGAAAACUCACCUGUUGCUCAUGCCUAUUAUAGGCUAACAUUAUAUAUAUAUAUAUAUAUAUAUAUAUAUAUGUAUAUGCAUCAUUUGUAUAUAUAAGAAAAACAUUUUUAAACCUGGGUUAAUUUUGAAGUGAACUGUUUCCACUUAAGCCCUACUCAGAUAUCUAGCACAUAGAAACUAUCAGUGACUGACACAUAAUAGAAAUUAAGUAAAUGUUUGUUGAAUGAGUGAAUAAAUGAGUAAGUGGGUGAAUGCCUCAUUAUUAGAAUGGAAGAAGCCUUGAGUUCUCAAGGCCAGUGACCCUGACUGGUACAAUCAAACUGGAAAGCUUUCAAAUAAGAAUUCAGCAAUACUGAGAACUAAUUUAGCUCAAUUUGGAGAAACUAAUCUCCAGAAAAGUUGGUCAUAAAAUGACCUCUAAAAAUGACCACCUUAUGAUAGAAUGGGAAGGCUAUUUUUAGCAUUGGUGAAGGCAAUAAUAAAAUAACAAAUCUUUUAAAGAUGUGGAGAAAAGACAGAGAUGGAAUUUGCUCCCAAAUGCCAUAAUGGAAUAACAAGUUCUAUGACUAUCCUUAAAAUAUUUAUUUCCUAGGACAUUUUAGAUUAGAAAAGCUCUUCUCCACAGUGAGCCACUAUUUUAUCUCCUAUCAAAUAGCAGAUGAUGCUUCUGGGACGAUUGAACCAUAACCAGGAAAUUUGUCCAGGCUGAAGCCUUUUCCAAGUGUGGAAUUUUCCUUGGAUAUCCAGCAGGGGACACUCACACACAGAUUAGACAGAGAGAUGGUCAGUUCCAGUUCCCUUGUAUUAAGUGUCAGUCUCAUCACCCCACAAUCGCUGUCCAUCUCAUCCUAGAAUGUAUGGACUACCCACUGUGUACCUGUUAUUGAUCUACUGCAGACUGUUUAUCUCAGUUAUUCCUUUAUCAUUGUCUUAGCUACAGCAGGAAAAUACUUCUGGCAUUACUCUCAGUGACACCCAUUUCAGACCCAGGGGCUUCCUGUUCCACCACCAAUGUGUAUUACUUCCUGACUGACAGAUUCUCCUAACAUUUUAGAUAGAUGAAGAUGAAAAGACACUUUAACCUCCUAUGGACAAACAGGUAGUCACACAUAAAAUCAGUAAAUAUUAUUUCUCCUCUAAUCACCUUUAUUCUCAUAGAAAAUGUUCAAUCUUAUUGACAGAAAGUUUGACUUCUUCCUCUGUAUGCUUAAGAUAAAAUCAAAAUCUGUUUUCUCAUCUCUGUUCAGUUGCUCAGAUAUUUUCAAAUAUGAGAAAACUGAGGGGCUAACUUCUUAAUUUUAUGAACUCUUGUUUGAAUUUCAAAGGUUUAACACCUUUGGAAACAAGAAUUCAAAAAAGUCUUUAAGGGUUUAUACCUAUGUAUACACAGAGAGAGAUAGACGAGAGACAGAGACAGAGAGAACCAACACUUCUUUUUGACCCUGCAAAAAAGAGAGAUUAAAAAAUUAGCAAAAACAUUUAUUUUUUUUUUUAGUUUGUUAAAAACCAUGGAGGGGACUUCCGGUCAAGAUGGCGGCUUAGAGAAAGCUAAAGUUCAGACCUCCAGAAACCCUUCCCGACCGAUCUCAAACUAUAAGCUCCUAAGGCACCGAAAUUCAAAAUGAUCAACAGCAUAGACCCUGGGAAUCCUCCUCCUGGACCUGGACCUGGAUCAAAAGGUACGGCCCCCCUCAAAAGCCAGAACCCGAGAUCACUCGGACCUAAGGGGUAGGAGUGCAGAGUCCAAGGCUCCUGGAAGCCACAGCCCCGCCCCCCUCAGAGAGCAGGGUCCUCUGAAACAACAGCAACCCUCAGGGCGGGCAAGACAGCCUCACCAGCUGGAUCCUGCUAUCCAAGUCUCAGUGAAAGUCACUGCCCUCGGAGCUCCAGGAAGCCUCGGCCCCUUCCCCUGCAGGGAGCAGGGUCCUCUGAAACAACAGUAACCCUCAGGGCUGACAAAACAGCCUCACGGCCAGCUAUUCUGAAGGCAACUUCCGGAAAGCAACCCGACCCAGUCCAGUCGAGGGGGAACCUUAGCAGCAGGGAAACAGAGAGAGCCGGGGGAGAGUGUGGCCCCCUGGUCCGACCCUUCUAUUCCACUUCCAGUGAAAGUCAUUGCCUUAAGGCAUACUCAGUUUAACCUAGGGAAAGCUCAUAAAACCGACAAUCUGCCCAGGACUAAAGCCUCUGAACACCAGACAGAAAUAAGAAAAGCUAAUCCUCCCCAUUCAGAGAUGGCAAACUCCACAGAAGCACAGAAGCCCCAAAAUCCCAAGAAAAAUAAGAAGAAAGGGGCUACUUUGGACACAUUCUAUGGAGCCAAAAUACAAAAUACAGAGGAGAUAGAAUACGAUACACAAGAAAAUGCCCCCAAACCUUCCAAAGGAAAUGGAAACUCUCCACAAACCCAUGAAGAAUUUGAAUCAGAAAUGACCAAAAAGAUGGAAGCCUUCUAGGAGGAAAAGUGGGAAAUAAUGCAAAAGAAAUUCAUGCAUCUUCAAAACCAAUGUGACCAAACUGAAAAGGAAAACCAGGCUUUAAAGGCCAGAAUCAGGCAGCUGGAAGACAACGAUCAUGAAAAAGAGCAAGAAUUAAUAAAGCAAAGCCAAAAUACCAAGAAAGUAGAAGAGAACAUAAAAUAUCUCACCGACAAGGUGACAGAUCUGGAAAAUAGAGGGAGAAGAGAUAAUUUAAGAAUAAUUGGACUUCCAAAAAAGCCAGAAAUAAACACCAAACUUGACAUCAUGAUACAAGAUAUAAUCAAAGAAAAUUGCCCAGAGAUUCUAGAACAAGGGGGUAAUACAGCCACUGACAGAGCUCACAGAACACCUUCUACACUAAACCACCAAAAGGCAACUCCCAGGAUUGUAAUUGCCAAAUUCCAAAGCUCUCAAACAAAAGAAAAAAUCCUAUAGAAAGCCAGAAAAAGACAAUUUAGAUAUAAAGGAAUGCCAAUCAGGGUCACAAAAGACCUUACAAGUUCUACACUGAAUGAUCAUAAGGCAUGGAACAUGAUCUUCAGAAAGGCAAGAGAGCUGGGUCUUCAACCAAGAAUCAGCUACCCAGCAAAACUGACUAUAUACUUCCAAGGGAAAGUAUGGGCAUUCAACAAAAUAGAAGAUUUCCAACUUUUUGCAAAGAAAAGACCAGAGUUCUGUGGAAAGUUUGAUACUGAAAAACAAAGAGCAAGGAAUACCUGAAAAGAUGGGGAUAGAGAAGUUUCAGAGGGAAAAAAAAACACAAAUAAUCAAGAAAUCUAAACUGCUCAAGAAGGAACUUCACAAGCUACCAUUUUGGACAGCAAAUGUACAUACAGGAAAGAAAAGGCAUCUAUCUGUAAAAUGAUCUGGAGAAGAAAAUGGCAAACCACUUUUAAAUCUUUGCCAAGAAAAUUCCAAAUGGGGUUAUGAAAAGUAAGACACAACUGAAAUGACCAAACAACAGCUAAUCAACAGAGCAUUUUGGUGAUUUAAAUUAAUGUGGAUUAAUGAAAGACUUUUCUUGUUACUUUCACCCUUCAUCAUAUUUACAUGGCCAAUAAAUGUAGAUAGCUAUCAUUUCCCUGUUUCAUUGAUACACUGGAGUUAGUCAAAACUCAUUAAGUAGUAUUUCUGCUUCAUGCAGCAUAGCUAGAAAAAAAAUAGUUUUUCUUUACAGUCAUUAGAAUUCCAUUAACUUUAAUGCCUUGUUAAUAUUUUUAUGUCCCUUGAGGCUUUUUGUGCAGUUUUUAAUGCCUCAUCAGGCCAUCAACUUUUAUGACAUUUAGGACCUGGAUUUUAUCCAACUGCUUCAAUUCUUCAACAAUAUGUGAUGCCCCCCAAAAUGAUUCAAUAGAGAUUACAAGAACAAUGCACUCUAGAAAACCAUUUUUUAAAAGACUUUAAAGUACAGUUUCUAUCAUGAAAACUCUUUUAUCUAAAACAUUGUCUGACUUUUGUGAUCAAAUAGAAAUUCUCCAGGAUUCAGUGAUCUUUCCCAGAGGCAUCAAUUACCUGAGCAUGAAGAGAUGUUGUGGUCUGUUGGAUAAGUGGACUAGACCCCAAGGAAAAUGUUUGCAGGCAUUACAUCCAUAUUUUAAAGAACAUGGCCAGUAGACCAAACAAAAGCUAAGUUUGCUCAGGCAGAGCUAGUACCUGCAUUCAAAAAGGCACUAUUAUUUCAAAAUUUUCAGGAAACUUUUUUUUUAAUGGGAUUUUAGUUUUUAUUUUAUUAUUUUUUGUUUCUUUUUUUCCAUUUGAAUCAGUUUAUUUAGUCAAUUUAGAACAUUAUUCCUUGGUUACAAUAAUCACAUUAUUUCCCACUCUUCCCGCAGCCAACAUGCAAUUUCAUUGGGUAUUACAUGUGCCCUUGAUCAGAACCCAUUUCCAUGUUGUUGUUUACACUAGGAUGUUCAUUUAGAGUCUACAUCCCCAACAAUAAGCCUUCAACCCAUGUAUUGAAGCAAUUGUUUUUCUUUAGUAUUUUUACUCCCACAGUGUUUCCUCUGGAUGUAGAUAGCAGUUUUUCUCGUAGGUUCCUCCGAAUUGUAAAGGGUCAUUGCAUUGCCACUAAUGGAGAAGUCCAUUACAUGAGUACAAUGUUCUCCUGGCUCUGCUCCUUUCACUCUGCAUCACUUCCUGGAGGUUGUUCCAGUCCCAAUGGAAUUCCUCCACUUUAUUAUUCCUUUGAGCAAAAUAGUAUCCAUCACCAACAUAUACCACAAUUUAUUCAGCCAUUCCCCAAUUGAAGGGCAUCCCCUCAUUUUCCAGUUUUUGGCCACCACAAAGAGCACAGCUAUGAAUAUUCUUGUACAAGUCUUUUUCCUUAUUAUGUCUUUGGGGUACAAACCCAGAAGUGCUAUGGCUGGAUCAAAGGGCAGACAGUCUUUUAUUGCCCUUUGGGUAUAGUCCUAAAUUGCCCUCCAGAAUGGUUGUAUCAAUUCACAACUCCACCAGCAAUGCAUUAAUGUCCCAACUUUGCCACAUCCCCUCCAACAUUCAUUACUUUCCUUUGCUGUCAUGUUAGCUAAUCUGCUAGGUGUGAGGUGAUACCUCAGAGUUGUUUUGAUUUGCAUUUCUCUGAUUAUAAGAGAUUUAGAGCACUUUUUCUUGUGCUUAUUAAUAGUUUUGAUUUCUUUAACUGAAAAUUGCCUAUUCAUGUCCCUUGCCCAUUUUUCAAUUGGAGAAUGGCUUGAUUUUUUUGUACAACUGGUUUAGCUCUUUAUAAAUUUGAGUAAUUAGACUUUUGCCAGAUGUUUUUGUAAUGAAGAUUGUUUCCCAAUUUGUUGUUUCCCUUCUAAUUUUGGAUGCAUUAAUUUUGUUUCUACAAACACUUUUUAAUUUGAUGGAAUCAAAUAUGCUCCCUCUCUAUCUCCUUCCCCGCCAUCUGUGUUGGACACUCCAAACUUGGCACAGUCCUGCCCACAAGGUACACCCUCCAGACCAGCACCUUUGACUGUCCAAAAGUUCCCACUGCUGCUGGAGUCUCAGUGCUCUGGAUGGGUGGGGGGAUGGGUCCUGGGACCUCUGUCUUCCCCUUAAACCCAAGUGUUCUUGGAUUCCGGCUUUUCAGGGGGCGUACCUUCUGAAUUAAGUCCAGUAGGAGGAGAGUCCUUGGCUCUGUCUUGUUGUUAAGUUUGAUUUUGAGUCCCCUAGGAGCAUUAAGUUUGUGAUUGGUAGGAACGGUAUUCAGAGGUCCAAACUUCUGCUCCUUCUGGGCCGCCAUCUUGACCCAGGAAACAUCUUGUAUCAUUAUAACUUAUCCUGUUCCUCUCCUAUCUACUCCCAAACUAAGAGUAGGAACAUAAUUCAAGGAAUAGCAAAAGUAAAUGAUCAUAAUAUAAUCACAAUAGGAAAACCUCAAUGAGAAAGAAAGAAGAUAAUAUGCACAUUCCCUUUUAUUUCAAGAGAAAAAUAAAUAAGAUUAAAUAUUUAAAACUGGUAUAGCAUAAAAAACAAAAACUAUUUUAAAAAUUCCUUGUUAAUCAGACAAAAAGCAAUGAAUUUUCAUGAUUAAUGGAAAUUAACCAGACAACAUUCACCAAUCCAUCAUUUUGUUGUUAUGAAUCAUUUCUAACUCUUCUUGACUCCAUUUGCAAAGAUACUGGAGUAGUUUGCCAUUUCCCUCUCCAAUUCAUUUUACAAAUGAGGAAAAUGAGGCAGAAUUAAAUAACUUACCUGCAGUCAUGCAGCUAGUAAGAACUCAAAAAUAAUGUGUUUUUUUUUCACUGCAGGCUCAACACACUAUUGACUGUACCAUCUAGUUGCUCCUAAUAUAUAUUUAUGUAUAAGUUUGUAUGUAUACCUAUAUAUAUAUGUAAUAGGGAUUCUGAACAUGUAUAUCCCAGAUGAAGAAACCUAUCAAUGCAGAUCAGUACUUUUUCUACAGCUUAUAGUCUUCACUGAGUUGCAAAAGGCAAAGAGAGUCAUCAAACACAGGGCUCACAACACUUCUAAGUGCCCAAUAAACCAGAUUAAAAUGCAAUUUAGAAAUUUUAGCAAAGUGCAUUGUAUAGUUGGAAAAUCUUGAACCCCAGGACUACAUUCCCCAGAAUUCCUUUUGUAUUUCCCAGCAUCCCUUUCCCUGCAACCUCAAGUUUGCCUAGUUAUGUAAUUGUUUAAAGCUUUCUGGGAUGGCUCCCUCUUUUUCUUCUUUAUCAAGACCAGAGCUGGAGUUAGUUAGCUCCCUUUUAACUGUAGUUUUUAUUUUAAUAAUUAUUAUAAAUAUAAUACUUUAGUUACUAUAUAUUCAUUUCAAUUCUCACAGAAUAAAAAUACAAUGAAAUAUAGAUAAUUAAUAUGUGGUUUUCUAAGUCUACAUGUGGCCUACUGGAAUUGUUAUGUACAUUUUAAUAGCCCCACUUCUAAUUGAGUUAGACAUCUGUUGUUGGGAGAAAAAGGAAGGAAUGAUAGGAAAAGGAAGGGAAGGUAGGUAGCCAGGGGUACCCCCCCCUGCAUUGGCAGAGAAAUUGUUCAGGGUUUUUCUUUUAGGUAGGCUAGGGAGUUAAAUUAAAUCAAACUAGACUCCAGAGAAAGUUAGGUAGGUUUAUUUAAGGUUAGGAAAAGAAAGUUUGGGAAAGUUAGAGAAAGUUUGAUCUCUGGCAGCUAUGCAGAGACCAAAGUUCUCCACCCAGGUUGGGGAAGAGGAGGGGAGACACAAGCCAAAACCCAGGCUUCUCUCUUCUUUUAUUCUCCCUCUGAUACCUCCCACGAAAGAAGUGGGAGGUGUCAGAGGAAGUUGCAGUAAAGAGUCUGGGGAGAUGGAGUUUCCCAGGGCUUAGGUCCACUUCAAUACACACACAUCACUAGUCUAGAGCACUGAGAAUUUAAAUGAUCUACCCAGUUUCAUAAUAACAUUUAUGUUAUAUUAUCUAUAAGCACUUUGGCUGAAAUAUCAGAAUUUAUAGUAUUUUACUAAAUAAUACUUAAAUUACUCAGGACUUAUGUAGAAUCGCAUAUAUAUAUGUAUAUACAUACAUAUAUAUAAUGUGAUAUCUGCUCUGUGGUGUAUAAGGAAGCAUUGUAAGUAGAAAAAACAUAUGUAUGUGCAGAUUGUAUCUAUUCUCAUCCACAGGUUUAUAUAUUACACAUAUAGAUGUAUUCUUAUUGAUCAGUUGUAUCAAAUAUAUGAACACUCAUACAGAAUUAUUAAGGAGCAUCACAAAGGUAUUUGCUUCAUGCAAAAUUGAAAUUGAGCUGCUAUCAAUAUUAAAUGAAAUUAUGGAAGAAUAAAUAAACAUAAAUAACAUAAAUGUUAUUAUGAAACCAGGCUAUGUUGGAGGCAGGACUUGAACCCAGUUCUCACAGUUCUACUCUAUACACUAUGCCAUGCUACCUUUCAUGUGAAGUCAUGUACCCAGGUGUGUAGACAGACACAUAGACACACAUAUGUAGACAAAAUUUUUUUUAUGAAAAGUAUAUAUAAUCAACGAGGAUGACGAAUGGCUAUGGUAGGGGUCUUGAAGUCAGUUGGCUUCUUUGAAUGUGUGCCUAUUUACUUGGCUGAGACUAAAAGGGAAAGAAGGAAGGAGCCAGAGAUGCCUCCUUCGCUUCUGGUGUGUUUUGAGUUGCUGGCUGUGUGAUUCUGGAUACUUAAGACAUAAACACUAAUGGCUGAAAGAAAGUACAGAGCUGCAGAGGGUGUUCUCUACAUUAAUAAAUGGUAGGGACAAUUUCUAUCCGUCUCUAAAGGGAUCCAACAGGAGACUUGUAAUUUUCCUUUUUGGUAGAAAAGUUUGGGGGACACUGAGGUGAGGGUUGAGGGAAGACUAGUAAUUUUCCUUUCUUGUGACUUUUCUGUAAUCGGGUGAGGUAAAAUGGUAAAAGGUGAUUGAAGUGACAUUAUAGAGAGACUUAAAUGAUGGGCUAAAGAAUUUGGAAUUUAUUUGAUAGGCAAUAUGAUAGAUAUAAUAAUAAUAAUAACUGACAUUUUAUAUGUCUUUAAGGUUUACAGAGGUCAUCAAUAAGAUAACAUGUUAUGUCAUUUGAUCUUUACAUUGUGAGGUAGGUGCUAUUGUUACCUCCUUUUUACAGAUGGUGCAAUUAAGUUUGAGAGAGAAUAACAGAAUUUGCCAGGGUCACAAGGGCAGGAAUUACCUGAGGCAGGACUGAACCCAGGUCUUCUUGAAUCCAAGUCCCACACUCUAACCACUGUACCACCUAGCUGCCUCAGAGUUGGAAGAGAGCUUAGAUACCAUUUAAUUUAACUUCUCUCCUUUUACUAAAAAAGCAAAAGUGAAAGGAACUCAAAGUUGAACCCAAGUCCUCUGACUCUUUUGAUGGAGAAAUAAAAAAAUUUGAGACUCAUCCAGAUGAUAUAUUUAGAAAGAUAAGUGAUUUCAAAACAAAUUGGGUGCAAGGCUUUUAGUCAGCCCAAAGACCUGAAACCUUGGUUUCUACAGUCAAUGUAUAGUUAAAAGAAUGAAAAGUAGGAUGUAGAUUUUGAGCCACCCUGUUCCUUUUUGGUCCAGAGGAUUGGGAAAUACUGAGAUGGGAGAGGCAGACAUAAUUUUCCUUUCUUUUGAUUUUCUUGUAAUCAGAUGACUUACACAAAAUUAGAAUUUAAUUUAACAAAAUAGUGAAUAAAGGCAAAAUGGAGUUAAUCAUGCUAUUUUAAAUGUAAUGCUCUAGGAUGUUUUCUAUCAUAUCAUGCUGCCUCUUCAAUUAGAACCAUGGAUGGUCUAUGCAUAGAGAAAUGAUAUCAUCUGACCUUUUGUAAUAGGAUGAUUAUCUGACAGCAAUGUGUCUAGUAUGAAUGGAAAAAGGAAGAAGCCAUAUGCCAGGAGAUUAAUUAGGAGCCCAUUGUGACCAUCUAGGCAGGAGAGAAAGAAGGAUGAAACUAGAGUAACAGUUUCAGCCUUCAGAGCAAUGCAUGUGAGAGAUGAGGCAGGGAUAGAAUCUUGAAGAUUUGUGAACUAAUUGGAUCCAUGCAUUGUGGGCAGAGGGAAAUGACUCUAAGGACCUUAGUGUGAUUAAGCUGGUCAAGAGAAUUAUGAUAUCAUUGACAAAGAUAAGGCAUUUAUAAUCCUGGGUAAAUUUAGGAGAAAAGAUAAAUUCAGUUUUAGAUAUUUUCCUUUAGCAGGACAUUUAAAAUGAAGCUAUUUUGUUGGCAGUUGAAACCAUGAGUCUAAAACUCAGGAAAGAAGUCAGAAUUGGGGCUAUCUGGGAGAAGAUUUGGGAGUUGUGAUUAUUUCUCUCUUAUAUUUGUAUGUCAGGAACUGACCUUAUCGGCCUGGAAGUAGCCUUUACUGGUAACUACCAGCAAUGAAUAGGUUACCAUAGAAAAAGAUGGAAAGAAUACAGAUUUAAAAAAACUUUAAUAAAUUUUUGCUUGUUAAUUGAUUAUGGUCCAGGAUUUGACAUUCGUGAUUAAUAGACUGAAAAACCUGAGGAGGAAGGAAGCACUAAUAUGAAGAAGAUGAAGAAAGGCUUCCUGAGGGAGAUGGUCCCUGAAUACGUCUUGAAGAAAAUUGCCUCACAUAUAAGGUGAAGAGAGCUCGAUUUUCUUUGUUCCCCAAAUGUAGACUUCUCAUCUGAGUUCCCCAGAAAGCGCCACAAGGGGCUCAGCAGGGCUCAGCAGGGCAACUAGCUUAAGCUGUGUGUGACUCAGCAGCCAUGAGAGCCCAGCAGCAAGUCCAGUUCAAGCAGGAUCAGCAGGCUGCAUCCCCACAGAGAUCACCUGCCCACACCGAAAUCACUUCCUCCGCCCCAACACUGCCCAGAGGCUCAGUCAGCAGCACUCUUGCAGCCUUUCCCUCAAGACUCUCAACAAUGGCUCCGGAAUGUCAUCACUGCCAACAAAAGGCUUUCCAUAACACUAACUUAAUUGGAUCUGCCCAGCUGCCUACUGGUGGGUGUCAAGUGCACAGCUUGGAAAAGAGCAGUAAAGUUGGAAUUAGGAGACCUGGAUCUGCCUCUUGGCUCCAAGAGAAUCACAGAAUUUGAGAUUUGGAAGGGACUUCCGGAAACUUUUAGUCCAAACCAUACCAGAAAGAAAUCCCCAAGUAUAAAGUACCCAGUAAGCAAUCAUUUGGCCCCUUGUGAAGAUCUCCAAGGACAGGGAACUUGCCAUCAAUCCAAGUAGCACGCUUCACUUAUGACCAGCUCCAAUUGGAAGUCUCUUUCCUCAAAUAAAGCCUUUUUGAAACUCC